GACGAACGCUGGCGGCGUGCUUAACACAUGCAAGUCGAACGGCAAGGCCCUGCUUUUGUGGGGUGCUCGAGUGGCGAACGGGUGAGUAACACGUGAGUAACCUGCCCUUGACUUUGGGAUAACUUCAGGAAACUGGGGCUAAUACCGGAUAGGAGCUCCUGCUGCAUGGUGGGGGUUGGAAAGUUUCGGCGGUUGGGGAUGGACUCGCGGCUUAUCAGCUUGUUGGUGGGGUAGUGGCUUACCAAGGCUUUGACGGGUAGCCGGCCUGAGAGGGUGACCGGCCACAUUGGGACUGAGAGACGGCCCAGAGGCCUACGGGAGGCAGCAGGGGGAAAUAUUGCACAAUGGGCGGAAGCCUGAUGCAGCAACGCCGCGUGCGGGAUGACGGCCUUCGGGUUGUAAACCGCUUUCGCCUGUGACGAAGCGUGAGUGACGGUAAUGGGUAAAGAAGCACCGGCUAACUACGUG
rnacentral:rRNA from 1 species